AUUGAACGCUGGCGGCAGGCCUAACACAUGCAAGUCGAACGAGUGGCGGACGGGUGAGUAAUGUCUGGGAAACUGCCCGUUGGAGGGGGUUAACUACUGGAAACGGUAGCUAAUACCGCAUACCAUCAGAUGUGCCCAGAUGGGAUUAGCUUGUUGGUGGGGUAACGGCUCACCAAGGCGACGAUCCCUAGGUGGUCCGAGAGGAUGACCAGUCACACUGUAACUGUGACACGGUCCAGACUCCUACGUGAGGCAGCGUGGGGGAAUAUUGGACAAUGGGCGAAAGCCUGAUGCGUCCAUGCCGCGUGUAUGAAGAGGGCCUUCGGGUUGUAGAGUACUUUCAUCUGGGAGGCGUUACCCGCAGAAGAAGCACCGGCUAACUCCGUGCCAGCAGCCGCGGUAAUUC
rnacentral:rRNA from 1 species